GUUCUUUGUUUUAUAAUCACAUCUUACCCAUUCCUCCUGUCGUUUAACCCCUUCAGAAGGCGCAACUUUCAGACGACGCAACAAGCUAAAACAAACUGUUGAAGCAAAAAUAAAAAUCUGGAAACAUGCCUAUGAGGUGUUCGAUGAAAUGUCUGAGCCAAUUAGCUUUUGAGAUAGAAGCUGACUUUGUUUUACGGUUAUUGGAAGAUGAAUAAGGGAUUGUCAAUUGUGCUAAUUAUGGUCAUUCCAGCAAUUGACGUGUACUUUGAACAAUUCUUAUCCCAACUACAAGUGUUUGAAUUUGGACUUUUUAUUGCUUAUGAUGAAUAGUUGCAAUUAGCACAGAGGAGUUGUCCAAGAAAAAUUUCCACCCUGAACUUCAAGUGCUUUUAGUGAGGCUAUGUUACAUACAAUUGGCUACAUAUACACAAGACAAGCUGCAAGAGAACUUGGAAAAGAUAAAAGUUAUAUGGAGGUCCAAUUUAUAGCCGAAUGGGUAAGAGACAAAGAACACCAAAUGAAGUCACAAGUUUCAGCCGCUUCAGGUGAUGUGUCUUUGAUACAAAUAUAAGAAGACCCGAAGAAGUUGAACCAUUCAGAAGGGAAAGAACAAUAGAUAAUGAAAGCUGUUGAAGAGAAAAAAGAUCAAAUGGUUUGUGAAUCCUUACUCAGAACCAGCCAACCAGAUGAAGAAGAAGAAGAGGAACAACAAAAACCGAGGAGAAAGUUAUUGAUGAUGAAGAAAAUGAUAGUUAUUUUAUUUUACUUUUAUAAAUUUUAUUUUUAUUAUUUUUUUCGUAAAUAUGUAGUAAAUUUAUUUUAGGAGCUUAAAUGUUUUAUACUCAUUACCAAAAAAAAAACUUAUGUUUUAUUUGCUGUGA